rnacentral:misc_RNA from 1 species
UCAAGUGCCUCCUGCUAGAAAACAUUCAAGCUUGAGUUCUGCUUCUCCUCCUUUUUAUCCUUCUGGAUCUUCAAAUAAAGAUAUCCCUUUGACUCAGAAAAGGGAAGUACAAGCUGGAAGUACAAGCAGGAAUAUUCGUAUUUCUGUUAUCAAUGAAAGUUUCUCUAUGCAGCAAGCCAGUGCAUUGGCACGGGGGAAGAAUAUAGCUGAUUCUGUUGGUAUUGACAAGCUUUACAGUGAUGAUUCUGUUACUUCAGUGGCUGGGAAGUCCUUGAACACUAUGCAAAUGUCACCUGGAUCUUCCUUGGUCAAUACCAUGCAAUCCUCUCAAUCUAGAACUCAAGGAAGGGGUGUAGCUAUUUCAAGUCAGAUGACUUAUCAAUCAGCCCCUGUGCAAAACCAAGUCAACAGAGCCUCAUCUGCAACACAGCCCCAUUCUGUUCAGCGGAGUCCUGUUCAAAAUCGUGCCCAACCUUCUGUCCUAGCUCCUGGUCAGCAGUUCGGACAGCGUACUGGUAGUGGAUCUCAAGCUUCUUCACCACCAAAAACAGCUUUGUCAAUAAAUUCUUACGAGUCUGGGGAGACUGAAACUACUUCAGAAUCAAGUAAAUCUAAAGGUGCAUUGGUUGGAAAGGGAAAAGAAAGCAUUCAAGGGAGCGGAAGAGGCUCUUUUCUGUACGGCGGUACACAGCUUAUGGGAGCAUCAGGGAAUAUGGGUGUUGGUCAUGGUGA